rnacentral:lncRNA from 1 species
AAAGAUUGAAUGUGGUAACAGAGUAGUGCAAUGUAUGAAAUUACCAGCCUUAGGCAUCCAAGUUGAGAGGGAAUUCUAAGGUCCCAAAGCAGGGCUUACCAAAUGGGGGCAGAACUUAAAGAACUAAGAAUAAGUGUAAGUGAGGGGCUAGGGGAAACCAAAGAAAAGGGCGGUCGUACCCAGCCAUGAGUAACACUGGCACACCCCUGACCCUCCACUUGGUUUUAAACAGAUAGAGAGCAGAUCUUAGAAGUCAGACAUGGAUCUUGGUGGUGAUAAGGACACCUCCAAAACCUAGUCAAAGCUCAACACAUAAAGGGGAGAAGGGAAUGAGACUAAUUUGAGCAGAGGUCCAAAAGGACCUGGUCCCAAGUCAUGGAUAGCAAUGGGAUGCUACCCUAACCUAGGACAGUACUCACACAUAAAGGGGUCAAAGGGAAGGGGUUCACAUGGAAAGCAUGUAUAGAAAGCAUCAAGUAACAGAACUUAAAGGUGCAGAAAAC